rnacentral:rRNA from 1 species
GGGUAAUGAUUAAUAGGGAUAGUUGGGGGCAUUAAUAUUUAAUUGUCAGAGGUGAAAUUCUUGGAUUUAUGAAAGAUUAACUUCUGCGAAAGCAUCUGCCAAGGAUGUUUUCAUUAAUCAAGAACGAAAGUUAGGGGAUCGAAGACGAUCAGAUACCGUCGUAGUCUUAACCAUAAACGAUGCCGACCAGCGAUUAGGAGACGUUGAAUACAAAACACCACCAUUUCAGCAUGGUUGUUUUCAAAUUGGAUCCUCGUGAU